ACGAGUGAAAUCCUCCCCGUCCAUUGUUGUAAGUGUCAAAGCACCGCCUGAAAAGGCUCUCUUGACAACCUAUGGACCUUCAUAGUUUGGAGUCCACUUGCCCCUGGAAUCGGGCGUGAAAGACAAGACUUUCUUGAGCACGAGGUCACCUUCUCGGAACACACGAGGCUUGACCUUCUUGUCGAAUGCUUUCUUCAUUCUCUGCUGAUAUAACUGACCAUGACACAUGGCAGUUAAUCUCUUCUUUUCGAUCAGAUUCACUUGGUCGUAACGACUCUGAAUCCAUUCAGCAUCAGUCAACUUGGGACUUGAGGGUGCUAUUAUUCUUUUGUUUCUUUCUUUCUUUUUCUUUCUUUUGAUUUUGAUUUGAUUUUGCACCCUCUUCUUUCUCUUUUUUUUUUAUUACAUUUGUAAUGCCCCAGUUGGACUGUUUUGCUGAUUCUCGAGAUGUAGCUGAGUGAUAUUCUUUUCUUGCUCAAGAAGUCGGGAAAUCUCGUCAGGAAUCCUUUCAACAUCAUCUUCUUCCGCUUCGAAUACAGGGAAUUCAAAAU
rnacentral:lncRNA from 1 species